UCCCUUGUGGCUCAGAUGGUAGAGCGUCUGCCUGCAAUGCAGGAGACCCGGGUUCAAUUCCUGGGUCAGGAA
rnacentral:tRNA from 1 species